rnacentral:rRNA from 1 species
AACGCGAAGAACCUUACCCAGGCUUGACAUGGUUAAGACAGCGCAUGAAAGUGCGUUUCUCCGCAAGGAGCUUUUCCACAGGUGCUGCAUGGCUGUCGUCAGCUCGUGCUGUGAAGUGUUGGGUUAAGUCCCGCAACGAGCGCAACCUUUGUCUUUAGUUGCCAUCACGUUAUGGUGGGCACUCUAGAGAGACUGCCGGUGAUAAACUGGAGGAAGGAGGAGACGACGUCAAGUCAGUAUGGCCCUUAUGCCUGGGGCUACACACGUGCUACAAUGGCCGUUACAAAGGGGUGCUAAACCGUGAGGUGGCGCAAAUCCCAAAAAGACGGCCUCAGUUCAGAUUGGAGGCUGCAACUCGCCUCCAUGAAGUCGGAAUCGCUAGUAACGGUAGAUCAGCAUCGCUACCGUGAAUACGUUCCCGGGCCUUGUACACACCGAUCUC